rnacentral:lncRNA from 1 species
ACCUAGGGUCUUCCUCCAGCAUCAAAUCUGGAAUGUUCCCAUAUGACCUAUAAAUGUGUUGGUGCGACGUUAACAGACAAACAAGUUAUCAUGUUCUUUUUUUAAAUAUAAUGUUUGAAUAUAAGUAAGGGUGGCAUAGACCUAUUGUUUUGUUUUGUUCAAACAGCCAUUUGAAUUGCCACUUGGUAUCAAUGACAGCACUUUCAUUUAUUGUAUAGGACAUUUACAAAUCUUGUAGAACAUUGCAAAUAACAGUAAUAAUGAUAAUAAAAUUUUGUAAUUUUCGAAAUAGUAUUAAAAAGUUUUGUAAUUUAAUUAAUUGUAAGUAAUUAAAGUUUUGUAUUUUGCGCAUUAGCAAUAAUAAAAAAUUUUCUGAUCUCGGUAAUUGUUAUGUAAAAUGAUUUGUAAUUUCAGCAAUUGCAAGAAGAAAAGUUUUGUAAUUUCAGUGAUUAACUUAAUUAAGUUUUUUAAUUAAGAAAUUGAAAUAAUGAAACUUUUAUACUUUUUUAAAUUCCAGUAAUUGUAAUCAUUAAAGUUUUUUAAUGACAGUCUUGGCAAUAAUGAAAGUUUUGUAGUAUCAGUUGUUGUAGUAGUAGAGGUUUUGUAAUUUCAAAUUUGAUUAUAAUAAAGACUUUGAAAUUUCAGGCCAGUGUACAAUAGACAGUGUAACUUUGUUGUUGGACAGUCUAAUAGAGGAACUUUGUGUUGUGGAGAUAGAGGAUACGUUGUCGUUUUCACAGCCAUUUUAUACGUAAGAAGUUGACAUUUACAGAAGAUUCCCAGAGCAAAAGACAGGUUGUUUUCUGAUGAAUGACGUACAGCUUGCAGUGACAUCCUUUCAACUUAAUACAGAAAUUCAGGUAAUUUAUCCAAUGAAUGAGUCCAGAUUUAAAAAAAAAGUCAUCCAGGAGACGACACUACAGAGCAGAAUUCAAGCUACAUGAACUAAGAAAAUCAUUUUCAAAUUUCCCCAUGAAUAAUGAGGCAUAAACAGGAGCUAUAGGACUACCCGUGGCAGUACCCAUUUUUUUGAUGAAGCCACUCAGCUUGUUUGAGCAAAAUCUGCAGUUGUAACCAUGUGUCUACUGAAGUCUGGAUAAUAUUUUACUGGAGAUUUGGAAUUUUAAUUCACUGUGAACAGAUGAAAACCUGAACAGUUACCAGAAAUGAAAAAUAAAAAUGUGUUACUAUUUCUAUAAACGUAUAAGAGA